UCCGGGGCGACCCGGAAUCUGAAGGAAGCCGGACGCAAACACACGCGGUAACGAACAGAAACAGGAUACAAGGCUGAAGUGGAAAGGAUGAAUCUGCUAUACAAGAUGAAAUCCUACAUUGCCCGAAUUCCGCACAGUAAAUCCUGUACCGGUGGGUGGAAAGCGGUCAGA
rnacentral:ncRNA from 1 species